rnacentral:rRNA from 1 species
AUCUCUUAAAGCCGUCUCAGUUCGGAUUGUAGGCUGCAACUCGCCUACAUGAAGUCGGAAUCGCUAGUAAUCGCGGAUCAGCAUGCCGCGGUGAAUACGUUCCCGGGCCUUGUACACACCGCCCGUCACACCAUGAGAGUUUGUAACACCCAAAGCCGGUGGGGUAACCUUUUGGAGCCAGCCGUCUAAGGUGGGACAGAUGAUUGGGGUGAAGUCGUAACAAGGUAGC